CAGGAAAUUAUGUCACUUCCUCGGCAGGAAAAACAACUGUGGUUAGCCUGGCAACGCCAGCAAGGAGAACGCAUUAGAAAAAAACACACAGAAGACUCCAAAAAGAGAGAGAGCAUUUAAAAUCAGAAGUGGCAAAGGAGAGGGGAAAAAAAGAAAAAAUACAGGAAUAGGUAUGCAAGGAUUAGGGGAGAACGGGCAUCUGUAUCUCCUCAUUCAACAGUCAAAGCAUUGCAGAGACGUCAGAAUGUGACAUCACCUAUUAACAGGGCUCUCCUCUUUCACACAUCUCUCAUUAAAGAUAUCAAAACAAAAUACAAAAAUGCAAGGAAUCAGAAGAACAAGCAAAUCAUUGCGAAAGUGACCUCUGUGAAUACACUGAAGAAGUAUAAACUUCAGAAGACGGUGUUGGGCUUUUCAAAUAAUGAGAGCGAAGUUGGAAAGGGACCUGUGCUCUUUUUUGAUGAGGAAGGGAAGCAGAACAGAAACAGAAAUAAAAAGGAAAGUGAAGGAUUUUUUUCUCAGUGAUGAUGUAAGUAGUAUAACGACCGGCCGCAAACAAACCAUGACACGACUAAAGAACAAAAUGCACAAGAGGCUUCUGACUGACAAUGAAAAAAUCUACACAGAAAUGUCCUGCCUGAGGAACUAGGUCAGUUGUCCAAUACCUCCUUCUGCCACCUCAGGCCAUUUUGGGUUGUUACGCCUAAUGACACUGAUCGUGAAACUUGUCAGUGCAAAACCCAUGAGAAUUUACAGUUCAUGGCAAAUUCUCUUCACAGUCUUGGGCUUUUGUCCACCAAAAACCUUGAGGACAUGGUCAACUCAAGUAUGUGUGACCUGAAAUCGAAGCUAUGUGCUUAUGGUGAAUGUAAUGAUUGCUUCCUCACCACUCAUCCAACUCUGAAACCUCCUGGGAAUGUAGAAGUUCCUCUGACACAAUGGACCUUGGAGAAGAUCCAAAAAAGACGAAGAGAAGUGCUCCAUGAUAAUCGGGAAGAGGGAGGUCACAAUAACAGAAACUGAACUGGUCAGUCAGUUUCAAGAUAGGCUCGCUAAGUUUUAGGCAACACAUCUUUAAUAUCAAGUGACAAUACAAGGCCUAUAGGGAGCUUAGGGAGAGUCUGAAGAACAAUGAGUGCUAGCUGCACAUUAACUUCAGCAAAAACUAUUCAUGCAAAUACAGUCAAGAGAUCCAGUUCUUGCAUUUUGGGGGAUCUCACCAGCAAGCCACUCUCCACACUGGAGUGAUCUACACUGCUGCAGACCAUCCACCAAUUGCUUUUUGCUCCAUUUCACCAUCACAGAGACAUGAUCCACCUGCCAUUUGGGAACACCUUGAUCCGGUUCUUGCCAUGUUUAAGCAGAAGUACCCUGAAGUCAGCUUCAUUUCUUUACUGGGGGGCCGGCUACACAAUACAAGUAGAAAGGGAACUUCUACCUACUUGCCACAGAACCACACAAACAAGGCUUUCAAGAGGUCAACUGGAAUUUCUUUGAGGCCAGCCACGGCAAGCGGGCACCAGAUGGUAUUGGAGAUGCUCUCAAGAGAUCUGCAGAUAGAGCAGUGCACCAUUGAAAUGAUAUCCCAGAUACACAGGCCCUGUACAAUGUCCUAAAAGGUCUUAACUCCUCUGUAGAGAUGUUCUUCAUUACUGAGAGUGAUGUUGAGGCAAGAGCAGAGGUAACCCUCCUUCCUCCCCAUACACACAUACAGUACAUACAUUGAGUAUUGGUUGAGUAUUGAAAUGUUUAAGGUGUUUGUUACUCUUUAUAUCUUAUCAUAUGCUAACAUAACAUUAAGGUGAACUGAAUGACAUCAACAAAUUCUUCUGGCCAAGUACAAAGGAAGAUAUUUUGAUGGACAGAUAAUUUGUCUGAUGCCGGAGCCACUGCCUGUCAAUAAACACUCUUUGCAGAGGGAAAACUCCACCUGGAAGUAUGUGGAAGAGCAUUUGGGGUGAAAGGGGAGAGCGAGGGAUAGAGGAAGAGCGGGACAGGAAUGUGUUUUAAUGCUAAUUCCAAUGAUUUUGCACCUGCAAUGUAUUUUUGUCUUGUUGUUUUUCACAAUGAAUAUAUAACUAAAUAGCAGUUCCAAUGUUGUUACUACAUGUAUUACUAUGUAGAUAUCUCCUCAGUGUUCAGUAUUCAGGUUUCAGGGUUUAAUUUAUGUUCUGUCCCGUUAUAGUUGUCCACCCUGUUAUCUUGGCAUCUUUUUCAAAUGAAUUCAGUUACAUUGUCAAAUAUCAAGAAUUUGUGUAAUGUAUUUUAAAGGGUAAGACAUGGCCGACACCAGAGAAUUAUAAACCUGGAUAAAAUAUAAUUGAUACUUGUCUCAAUUUAGAAAGAUAAGGUGUAAAUUAGAUGAAGUUCAGUAUAAAACCACACAUUGUAUACAACAUCUGUUAUUUCUUUAUAAUUUGACCAGAACAAAUGAACAGGGUUGACAAGGGGACACAAUAGCUUUAUGAAAACGUAAAUAUGAUUAAAAUAGUCCAAUGAAAGUAAUUAAAGACAGGUAAGUGCAUGUCUGUAACAGGGUGGGCAUAUCUUAUGGCUGAUUCACUGAAAAUGGGUUUGUAAUGAUCUAACUCUUAAGUGCUGGAGCUUGGCCAACAUGUUUUUCUAAAAGUCUAAUAUUUUAUUUUUUAUAGUAAAUCACAAAAGGAAUACAAAUUCUGAAAUAAAAAUGUAAAAUGUUGCGUGUUCCAAAUGUUUUGUGAUAUUGACCCUUGUGUCUGUCUGUGUGGUGAGCACAUGGCAUUAAUAUUGUCUGUUCAAUGUCUCAUAAAGCUGUGAUUGAGAAUAGCCUAG